AAUUAUAAUUAUAUUAAUUAUAAUUAAGGCCAAGAUCAAAAAAUCAGCUGAUGACCCAAAAUGUGCAAGGAAACCGAUGAAACCAUUGAUCAUAUCCUCAGCUGCUGUAAGAAAAUCGCACAGACAGACUACAAACAGAGGCACAACUAUGUGGCCCAAAUGAUUCAUUGGAACUUAUGCCUCAAGUACCACCUGCCAGCAGCAAAGAACUGGUGGGAUCACAAACCUGCAAAGGUUGUGGAAAAUGAACACACAAAGAUACUGUGGGACUUCCGAAUCCAGACUGACAAAGUUCUGGAACACAACACACCAGACAUCACAGUUGUGGAAAAGAACAAGGUUUGGAUCAUUGAUGUCGCCAUCCCAGGUGACAGUCGCAUAGAUGAAAAACAACAGGAAAAACUCAGCCGCUAUCAGGACCUCAAGAUUGAACUUCAAAGACUCUGGCAGAAACCAGUGCAGGUGGUCCUGAUAGCAGCUGAGUUUUUCCUGUUGUUUUUCGUCAAUGCGACUGUCACCUGGGAUGGCAACAUCAAUGAUCCAAACCUUUUUCUUUUCCACAACUGUGAUGUCUGGUGUGUUGUGUUCCAGAACUUUGUCAGUCUGGAUUCGGAAGUCCCACCGUAUCUUUGUGGGCUCAUUUUCCAAUACUUUUGCAGGUUUGUGAUCCCACCAGUUCUGUACUGCUGGGCGGUGGUACUUGAGGCAUAAGUUCCAAUGAAUCAUUUGGGCCACAUUAUUAUUAUUAUUAUUAUUAUUAUUAUUAUUAUUAUUAUUAUUAUUAUUAUUUGAAGCAGCAUAAGCAUAAAAUUACAUCUUCAUUAUAGUAGCUCCAAUAUAUUAUAAGCCUAUAUAACUAAUGCCUAACAUUCCUCAUCAAAGAAAAAAUGAGAAAAAAACAGCCCCCUUCUCUAUAUCAAAUAAAAAUAUGAAUAAAACAUAAUAAAAAGCUAAAAGUUAAUUUUCCACCUACAAACAUAACGACAUUUAUAUUAAAAAAAACAGUCAUCUUUUUCUCACUAUAGGAAAGCUAAAUAAUUACUCUACUUACUCAUGAACUCCCAUAAGCACUUUCAUAUUCUCUUUCUUUUUCACAAAGGUCAUAAGAUUCCCAAUGUUUUGUUAAACUUUCUAGAGACUUCUCUUUUAUCAGAGUAGAUAAUUUGUCCAUUUCUGCCAUUUCAACCAUUUUUAAUAUCCAGUUUUCUCUUGAGGGUAAAUCUGUAUUCUUUUCUUUUUGGGUGUAGAAUAUUCUUGCCAUUAAAUUUAGUAAUUUGAAAUAGAAUUUUUUGAUUUGCACAUUCUAUUUGGAAAUCCAAGUAAAAAUAGCAAUCCAAUUUUAUUUUUAAAAUCUCUUCUGUCAGGCUUUCAAUAAUUAUUAAUACUUUUAAAAGCUCACCACAUGUCUACCACAUAUGGUAAAAAGCACCUUGUUUUACUUCUACCAGCAGACAUUUUCUUAUAUAUAUAUAUAUAUAUAUAUAUAUAUAUAUAUAUAUAUAUUUGACAGG
rnacentral:lncRNA from 1 species